rnacentral:lncRNA from 1 species
ACAUUCCACAGUGCAAACAGCAGGCAGAGCUUCUCAGAGAGGAGACUAGCAGUUACCUUUUAAGUCUUCUAGGUCAUUUUCAAUGAUUUGUAACUGGUUCAAGUCCCUCUACUUGGGAGAAGGGGAACAGAGAGCCUGGAACCCAGAGGAUCUGAUCCCAAAGCUAUCCUUUCUCUCACUCUCUUGGAUGGUCUCUGUCAUCAGGUUGCUCACAGGCACCAAUAAGGGUGGAGGGGACAAUCUACAGUGCCACAGAGUCUGUUGAUACUGUGCUGUCGCAAUAUAUUCUACAUAUUAAGUUUCUGGAAUACUUCAAGAUCCAAACCAACCAGAACACAAAGUCGUUGUCUUGCUCCAUUUGUGCCACUACAACAGAAUACCAUACACUGGACCGUUUCUAAAAAAGAGAGAUUGAUGUUUCAGUUCUGGAGACAGUGUGGGCAAUGGCAUCUUGCAUCUAUUGGGGGAACUUGCUGCUUCCUUCCAGGAAAGAAGACAGAAAGGCAUUCAAAGGAAGCAGAAAUUGCAGCCUGCCAUGACAGAAGAGCUGAGGGGAGCGAACCCAUUCCCACAAGCCCUUUCCAUAGCAGCGUCAAUUCAUUAUAACAGAAAGAAGCAUCUCCCAUUUAGCACUGUCCCCCUGACUGUCACACUAAGAUCUCCCACUUAGCACUGUCCCCCUGACUGUCACACUAAGAUCUCCCAUUCAGCACUGUCCCCCUGACUGUCACACUAAGAUUUCCUUCCAACAAAUAAAUUGGGUGAGGAGACACUUUUUGAUAUGAAAAAAAAAAAAAAACAUACUUUGUGACUUCAUCUUACAGAACAGAGGAAAUAAAUUAGCUAGCUAUCAAGGCUAUCAGAAGACAGUGGCCAUAAGACUUGGAACAUUAAUGCCAAGGGUCCCUCAUCAAUUACAUCUCAAAACUUAGGGGCACAUGAAAGGGACUGAAGAAGAAAUCUGAGGACAUCUGUGGCUACCUAAACAAACCUAUUGGCUGGUAUUGUUCUGCUAUUGCAGGGGAGCCCCAUCCUUGGAACUGUAGAAUUUGCAUUAAUACUAGCUUCUAGAUUUACCUUGCAGCUUUUGAGGACUGAUUUUGCCAAGGUCCCACAAGACACGAGGAGCACACAUCUAAAUAGAGAGUCUCAUUAAGGAGCCUUAACCAUUUUUAAGCCAAAUGUCCAAUGACUAUUUUUCACUUGUCACAUAAAAAAUAUGCUUACUGCUACCCAUAUAUAUCAUAUAUGUAUUCUAUAGACAUACUUAUGCUUGUCAUCACAACAAAGCAAAAUAAAAGAUUAUAUUAUUGCC